GGUUAAGUUAAUAAGGGCGCACGGUGGAUGCCUUGGCACUAGGAGCCGACGAAGGACGUGACAAACGACGAUAUGCCUUGGGUAGCUGUAAGUAAGCGAUGAUCCAGGGAUUUCCGAAUGGGGGAACCCAACAGGUAGUACCUGUUACCCACAUCUGUUAAGGAUGUGAGGAGGAAGACGCAGUGAACUGAAACAUCUAAGUAGCUGCAGGAAGAGAAAGCAAAAGCGAUUGCCUUAGUAGCGGCGAGCGAAACGGCAGAAGGGCAAACCGAAGAGUUUACUCUUCGGGGUUGUAGGACUGCAAUGUGGACUCAAAGAUUAUAGAAGAAUGAUUUGGGAAGAUCAGCCAAAGAGAGUAAUAGCCUCGUAUUUAAAAUAGUCUUUGUAGCUAGCAGUAUCCUGAGUACGGCGGGACACGUGAAAUCCCGUCGGAAUCUGGGAGGACCAUCUCCCAACCCUAAAUACUCCCUAGUGACCGAUAGUGAACCAGUACCGUGAGGGAAAGGUGAAAAGCACCCCGGGAGGGGAGUGAAAUAGAACCUGAAACCGUGUGCCUACAACAAGUUCGAGCCCGUUAAUGGGUGAGAGCGUGCCUUUUGUAGAAUGAACCGGCGAGUUACGUUAUGAUGCGAGGUUAAGUUGAAGAGACGGAGCCGUAGGGAAACCGAGUCUGAAUAGGGCGCCUUAGUAUCAUGACGUAGACCCGAAACCAUGUGACCUACCCAUGAGCAGGUUGAAGGUGCGGUAAGACGCACUGGAGGACCGAACCAGGGCACGUUGAAAAGUGCUUGGAUGACUUGUGGGUAGCGGAGAAAUUCCAAACGAACUUGGAGAUAGCUGGUUCUCUCCGAAAUAGCUUUAGGGCUAGCGUCGACAUUAGAGAUUCUUGGAGGUAGAGCACUGUUUGGGUGAGGGGUCCAUCCCGGAUUACCAAUCUCAGAUAAACUCCGAAUGCCAAUGAAUUAUGGUCGGCAGUCAGACUGCGAGUGCUAAGAUCCGUAGUCGAAAGGGAAACAGCCCAGACCACCAGCUAAGGUCCCAAAAUAAUUGUUAAGUGGAAAAGGAUGUGGGGUUGCACAGACAACUAGGAUGUUAGCUUAGAAGCAGCUAUUCAUUCAAAGAGUGCGUAAUAGCUCACUAGUCGAGUGACCCUGCGCCGAAAAUGUACCGGGGCUAAAACAAUUUACCGAAGCUGUGGAUACCUUUAUAGGUAUGGUAGGAGAGCGUUCUAUGUGUGAUGAAGGUAUACCGUGAGGAGUGCUGGAACGCAUAGAAGUGAGAAUGCCGGUAUGAGUAGCGAAAGACAGGUGAGAAUCCUGUCCACCGUAAGACUAAGGUUUCCAGGGGAAGGCUCGUCCGCCCUGGGUUAGUCGGGACCUAAGGAGAGACCGAAAGGUGUAUCCGAUGGACAACAGGUUGAUAUUCCUGUACUAGAGUAUGUAGUGAUGGAGGGACGCAGUAGGCUAACUAAAGCAGACGAUUGGAAGAGUCUGUCUAAGCAGUGAGGUGUGAAUUGAGUCAAAUGCUUAAUUCUAUAACAUUGAGCUGUGAUGGGGAGCGAAGUUUAGUAGCGAAGUUAGUGACGUCACACUGCCAAGAAAAGCUUCUAGCGUUUAAACAUACUCUACCCGUACCGCAAACCGACACAGGUAGUCGAGGCGAGUAGCCUCAGGUGAGCGAGAGAACUCUCGUUAAGGAACUCGGCAAAAUGACCCCGUAACUUCGGGAGAAGGGGUGCUGACUUUAAGUCAGCCGCAGUGAAUAGGCCCAAGCAACUGUUUAUCAAAAACACAGCUCUCUGCUAAAUCGUAAGAUGAUGUAUAGGGGGUGACGCCUGCCCGGUGCUGGAAGGUUAAGAGGAGUGCUUAGCGUAAGCGAAGGUAUGAAUUGAAGCCCCAGUAAACGGCGGCCGUAACUAUAACGGUCCUAAGGUAGCGAAAUUCCUUGUCGGGUAAGUUCCGACCCG
rnacentral:rRNA from 1 species